UUGAAAAACUGUAGACAUGCAGGAUCUUUAAAGGGUUGGACAGAUUACAGUGUGUAACAGGGUAACUGCUGGCCCUCCAGCCUUAAAACUACAUAGAAAACCUGCCAAAAAAAGAAGGGGGGACAUUCUUACAGCGCUGAAUAAAACUUGAAUUUUGGAAAUAUUUGCCCUAACCUUGGUUUGUGGUCUCUAGUCUGUUUAUAUGUGUCCUGUGUUCGCCCAGUGCUUUAUGGGACAUGUAGUUCGUCAAUGUUCUGGGAACGUUGCAGUGACGUUGCGGUAACGUGACAUAACGUUAGCGAGCUUGGGCCAAUAUGACAACCACUUCCGCUUGUUUUCUUCGCGAGUCUUUGUCUUAUGUGUUUACCAAAACGAAGAGUUUUGGUGUUAUAAAGUCGCGUUUUGUUCGCUAGUUAGCUCGCUUAAAUACAGCAAUGGAAGGCAGUAAUGGUAACAGCUCGAACUGGGCGGUGGAGCGGCGGGUGGAGGGGCUGGUGGAGGGACUGGUGAACAAACACAUGGCAGACAUGGCACUGGAUACACUUCAGCAGAGACUCUCCGCUGUGUCCCAGGAAAUGAACCAUCUGUCUGCUGAAAUAUCCAGACGAGAAGACUCGAAACGUUUGGAGGAUUUAGCGCGGCGGACUGAACCACACUUCAUCGCAGGUUCCCUGCCGGAGUCUUAUAACGAAGAGCUAGUGGAGGAAAAAAAGUUGAUGACCAACACAUCCACAUCCUCCUCGUCCUCCUCAGCAGAAACUGCAGCUCAAAAAAAAAUCAUAUCACUCCUGCUGGAAAUAAAAGAAGAACAACAGAGGCAGUGGACUGUGCUGAAAGACCUGCAAGCAAUGAUUCAAGGACACAUGUGUGAGGAGGAUGUUGAAACUCUGGAUAUAGAUCUACCACUACAGACAAUGGAACAGCUUGAUGAAACAGAGAGAUAUUUGGAGAACGAUGAAGCGCAGAAGAGAAUGGUGUCUCACCUGUCUCGGAUGGGUGGUGCAACCGUGGAUGAUGCAGUUAGACGCCUGAUGCACGCAGUCUUGUCUUUCACUGUCGGUUCUGAGCUGAACUGGGUUGGUCGAGGACAAAAAAGGAGCUUCAAAAAUACCAGACUGCAAGGAGUUUUGUUCCGUGCAUUAAAGAAGACCCCUGUAGGAAAAGAGGCCACACACCAUCAGUUUGCAGAUGUAGUAAAGAAAUGGCUGCGAUUUGCUCCAUUCAGACAAGGAGGCACUGGUCGGAGACAGCAUUACAAACCUCCUGUAAAAUACCUGUGCCCCAAGUAUCAUACUGAUACUGAAGGGUGACAACAGUGUCUUAUUGUCUUAUCUUAUUCAACACAGUUCAAUAUAAAAUUUCAACUAAAAAAACACAUUUUCAUGUUUCUCAGUGUUUUAGGGUUUGUUUGUUUGUUUUUAUGAGACUUCUAAAGUAAAAUAAAGCAGGAAAAUGACCUCCCGCUGGAGCCACAAAGCAUAGAAGUUUUAUUUUCAAUAUUGUAUUUUAAUCUGUUCACUGAAAAUGUUAAGUAUCAUUAUUUACAUAUUAGAUUGAAGGCUAGUAUUCUGGCUUUACUAGUUUUAGUUGCUUGUGCUACUGUAGGUAACACAAUGUAAUAGUGUUUUUUCAUUCAUGAGGUUGGGACUAAUCAUGACAUGCUUGUCCAGAUGUCUACAGAUUAUAAGUGCCUUUCUGAAAAUUGACAGCUGAGUCUGUCUAGUGCAUCAUCCAACAUAAUAUUCAAGUGAAUGCAGAAGAGUUAAAUAGUCCCAGACAACAUAAAGCAUUGUUAUUUAUCUAAUUCAAAAUCAGAACAAAGAGAGAUCGAGUCACAGACUUUCAUUUGAUUUUCUGUUGUCUUGUUCUAAUCCUUGUGCAAACCCAUACAUGAGGUCAUCUGACUCUAUACCCUACUUUAGAAACAGGCUUUUUAAAAUGUGUACAAAAUGUGUUUGUUUUUUUAAGAAAUGGGGGAAUUUUCAAUUUCAUAUGCAUAUUCAGGAAGAUUUGAGGCAGUGGCUGAUCUCUUGAAUGAAUGUUUCUAGUUCUAUCUGGAAUGGAAAUUAUAAGCCUAAAAUGUGCUGAGGAGUUAUUCAGUAUAAAUGAUAAUCUGAUCACUCUUAGAUUGAGAAAUUCUUACGGAGCACUUCGUCACUGUGUGGAAAGGAGUAUUAUAUGGUUACUUAUACUUUUCUUCUACUUUAUUUUAAAGCAAGCACUUGAUGGUUACUCAUGUGGUUAUGCAUUUUACUUGAUUAAAAACAAAUCAACCAUGAAUUUAAGGCUGUGAUAUGUAUUGAAGUAGACUUGCAUGUUACAUUACCUGUUUUUUUUUUGUUUUUUUCACUGUUAAUAAUAUACUUCGUUUUGUUUUAUACAGGUGUACUUUAUAUUUCAAGCUUUUGAAGCAUUUAUGCCAUAUACAUUUAUUUGUUUACUAAAGCACACCUAAUAGCUAUAAGCCUACCGUAGAUGGCAUAAUGUAGGCUAUUAAGCCUUAUACCUAUUUAAGAUGAAGGUAAGUAAAUCACAUAACCCACAAACAUCACCUAAAAAUAGAACAUGUAGUUCCCAAGUUUGAUCCUUAGUUCAGUUAAUGUCUGUGUGGAUUUUCACAUGGUCUUCCAGUGUUUGUGUGGGUAUCCUCUGUGUUUUCCAGUUUCCUCCAACCUACCAAAAAUAUGUGGGUAGGUGAAGUGGCUACUCUAAAUUGCCACUAGAAGUGAAUGCGUGUGUGUGUGUGCGCGCAUGUGCAUGGUGUCCUGUGGUGGACAGGCGUCCCUUUCAGGAUGUAGUCCUUUCUUGUGUCCAGUGUUCCAGGGAUAGUGUCUGAAACGAAUUCACCACAUGCUCCCAUGUCUGUGAACACAGGUGACUGUCUCAGCCAGGACAGGGCUACUGUCUUCAAUCCUCAAUUACUAACUUUUAAUGCUUCCUUUUUUUAUAUUUGAAGGAAAACCACUACUGUUUGUAUUUACUGUACUCAUGACAGAAGUAAUAAAAGGUACUUAAUAAAGCCACAAGUGUCCUGCUGUAGAAGAAGUAAACGAGGCCUAUGUUUACAUAAUCUACAUGGCCGUAAAGGCUAGCUUUAACCUACAUAGCCUGCAACAGGUGCCAAGUUGGCUACUUUAAAGAUUUAGAAGUGUUUCCUAUAGGCCUACUACAAGAUACAUUAUAUGGCUGAGUCCCAGAUGGUUCCAUAUUGGACAUGAAAGUGUAGAUGUCAUUAUUUAAUAGCCUAUUAUUUGGGAUGCAACCGGUAAAACAUGUUAUGUGGUCAAAUAGCACAUACCAUCAAUUCGUAUCCUAGCAACGUAUGUACAACACAACACCAACGGCACGCAAACCUGAGUCAUGUGUUGUGCAGUACACGGGGAUGUAAGUGUACACGGUGGACAUUAAUAUUCAAUUUAAAUCUGGCGUAAACAAAAUGAAGUGCAAUGCAAUGCAAAAUAUCAACAAGCCACAUUAAUAUUUAAAUAAAAUAUUAAGUAAGAUAUUGUUAAUGUUUAAAAAAGUAACUAAAUUACUGGCCUUACACUAUUUAAAGUGCAGUACUUCUAUAAUGUGCUACUUUGUAUCUGGGAUUUUUACUUUUUUUAAAUAAAUAUUUGUAUGAGUUUAAGCAGUUACAGUAAUGUGAAAAAAUAAGUACACCCCAUCGAAAUUGUAGGAUUUUUUGACAUUUGGACAAGCAAACAUUUGAUCCUCUGUGAAACAGUGUUUAUUAAUAAAGAUGAUAUAUUCUAUGAAAGACACAUCAAAUUGACAUUUUGAAGUAAUUUUCACAAUUUAAAUUUUACUAAAACAUCAGUCACGUGGAAAAAGUAAAUGCACCCUUACAUUUAUCAAACCUUCAAAUCCGUAAAAUUAGAAUCAGGUGUUCAAGAUUGUGUGCCAGUGAUCAGAACCUGCUUAGGGAGUGCAGGUUUUUAUUUAUACCUAUACCAGUCUCAUAUCUAGUGUCUGGUGUUCCUUUUGUUAUUGAGGUGUGUGGUGUCAUCAUGCCAAGAUCUAAAGAGUUCUGUAAUGCCUUCAGAAAAAAAGGUUGUGGCUGCCUAUAAGUCUAGCAAGGGAUUUAAAAAGAUCUCCAAAUGAUUUGAAAUACAUCAUUCCACUAUAAGGAAAAUCAUUUAUAAGUGG
ensembl:lncRNA